rnacentral:rRNA from 1 species
GACGAACGCUGGCGGCGUGCUUAACACAUGCAAGUCGAACGAUGAAGCCUAGCUUGCUAGGUGGAUUAGUGGCGAACGGGUGAGUAAUACGUGAGUAACCUACCUUUAACUCUGGGAUAAGCCCGGGAAACUGGGUCUAAUACCGGAUACGACCAAUCUCCGCAUGGGGUGUUGGUGGAAAAGCGUUAUGUAGUGGUUAUAGAUGGGCUCACGGCCUAUCAGCUUGUUGGUGAGGUAACGGCCCACCAAGGCGACGACGGGUAGCCGGCCUGAGAGGGUGACCGGCCACACUGGGACUGAGACACGGCCCAGACUCCUACGGGAGGCAGCAGUGGGGAAUAUUGCACAAUGGGCGCAAGCCUGAUGCAGCGACGCCGCGUGAGGGAUGACGGCCUUCGGGUUGUAAACCUCUGUUAGCAGGGAAGAAGAGAGAUUGACGGUACCUGCAGAGAAAGCGCCGGCUAACUACGUG